CUGCUCGUGGCAACGUCAUUUCACUGCGUCUACCUUUAACAAACCAGCUUAGUAGACACUUUCAGGAUAUUGUAAAUCCUGUAAGGAGGGCUUGGGCUUUCCAGUGGCCUUGCAUUCCCACACCAGAGAGUCGUCAAUGGGCUUCUGCACAUCCUGGGGUUUCUCUAUCAGAUGUGGAGGGGCUGCAUGGUCAAAACAACAUGGCUGUGAAUUAGAACAUUCUCAUACAGAUCCCAUUUCUCGCAGCUCAGCAUUCAACACCAUAGUGCCCAGAAAGCUCAUCACUAAGCUAAGGACCCUGGAACUAAAUACCUCCCUCUGCAACUGGAUCAUGGACUUCCCGAUGGGCCGUCCUCACGUGGUAAGGGGAGACAACAACACAUCUGCCACGCUGAUACUCAAAAUGGGGGCCCCUCAGGGGUAUGUGUUUAGUCCCCUCCUGUACUCCCUGUUCACACACGAUUGAGUGGCCAAGGCGACUCCAACACUAUCCUUAAGUUUGCUGACGACACAACAGUGGUAGGACUGAUCACCUACAACAAUGAGACAGCUUAUA